CCCCACCAGGUGAGAUCCUUACAGGCCAGCUCUGUUGGCUUCUGGCUAGACUUGGGUCCAGGUAGGAAUAACACAUGUCCUAUUUCCAGAAUCUCCUGGUUUAGUGCGUGAGGCAGAUGCAUAAAGAAAUGGCAGCCUACAGCAUGGUGAGUGCCACCUGGCCAUUCAUGUAGGCUUUACAGGACAAAUGCAGAAAUAAUUCCAAAUUUCCAAUCCAAACCCCUGCCUUCCAUGGUGACCAGAGUGUGCUGGCCUCACAGUUCCCUGUUCACUCCUGUCUGGUGCCUCUUCCCUCUUUCCCUUCGUCAAACCCUAGGCCUGAUCACACCCUGCAGCCCAUCCUUCUGAAGUCUAAGGUGGCUGUCUCCCAGAUUUGGCUCAGCCGCAAAGCUGACACCCAGAGGCCUCGGGUCCUGCUUUCUGCUCUCUCUCCCCGGUCUGCCCUCUGGCUUCAUGAGAAGUCACGUCAUCUGCUCUUAGUCCCCCAAUCUGGGUGAUAGUGGUGGCUUGUGUCUCUGUGGCACCUGUGUCACAGGCUGGUCCUAGAUGCCCCAUGGCCUCCAUCCCAAAUCCAGUCCUCCUUCCACUGCGGCUCCAUUCUCCCCAGACCUCAGUCCACGCCUCCUGUUCACCCCCUUCAUGAGAUGGAGUACCCAGGGGAGGAGUAGGGCUGGCGGCACCUCCCGACUCUGUGCCCAACCACAGAGGACCCUGGCAGGCUGUCUCCACAGGUUGGUGUAAUGAUAACAAGCAUCUCAAUGUACAUCACAAACAACUCGAAAUGGCCCCCGUGGUGACCUGUUGCAAGCCUGAGCCCUUGUUAGGAGCUGUGGAGAGAGGUGAGGGGCGGCCACCCAGCCUGCUGUCUCUCCCAGGCCCUCCCCGCAGCUCAGCUGGUCGAGGCUGAAAUGGGUGAGUCCUUCCCAGGCACGCUCCCCAGGACCAUCUGUGGGCACCUUUGCCUAGAGGCCUCUGGUUGACUCAGCCUCUUCCUCUCUGGCUUUCCUCUUGCCUGAGCUUCUGUCUUCCCCAAAGUUCACCCAUCCAUUCUUGAUCGGGUUUUCAAUGAUGACGAGACCCUGGACCCUAGAAACUGUCCCAGGAAGGUGACGUAGAGGCCAGGUCUACAGGUCGUGCAGCAGCAGGGUGGGUGCACCUGGCAUCCACCAAGAACAGCCCUGCCCAUCCUGCAGCUCAGAGUGGCCUGAACGUGCCGCUCCCACUGCCACGUCACGGCCCUCUACUCUGAGAGCCUCCAAGGCUGCCAUCUCUGCUGUCAAAGUCAGGUUGGCAUUAAUCUCCAUAUGGACUUAGGUGUCAUCACACACCCUGAGCUUUCUGCAGCUCCUCAUCCCCUUUCCCAGCCAGAUGGAGACACAUCUUUUCCCAGCACCCUCGGGGGAUACAUGUCUGGUUAUUUGAUAAUGGGCCAUACGGCCUGGAUUUGGAGCUUUUUAUAAACUCAUGUUCAACGGUCACUUCUUGCCUGUAUUCCAGACUCAAGCCUCGGUCUAAAAUUCCCUGCACUUUUGAAACAGCUCAAGAAAUCCCAUGCCACUGAUGUGUCCUGUUGGAAAAACACAAUCCAGUUUUAAAGCCAUGAUGCCCCAUGUAAGGCCACACGGUGGCGCUCUCGCCCCUGUGUUCCUUGGGCAAUGCCUGCCUGUUCCCUCUUCAAUAAUAAUACUCCUGCUGUGAGCACCCCUGCUUAGUGCUUCUACAUCUGUGAGGAUCAUACUAAAAUUAUACCAUAAUUGGCCAGGGCACGAGGCGCUGAUGGCUGAGGCCAGUUCAAAUCAGUUUGCUGCCCGCUCCCAAUUUCUCCUUGAGCUCUGCACUGCUUCCUGAGCUCCUGGUGACAGGCUUUUUGCCGGCUUAGCGCGCCAUCCCCUCACUCCUUCAGCACUUACUGCAUCUGCCUGUGCUGAGUCCUGGGCAGGGACAGGACAGGUGCAGAGAGGCACCACUCAGCCCUGCCACUGAAGAGACAAGGCCAAGGCCACCUGCCUCUCCCUCAGCCCUUCCACCAGGCACCUCACUCAGCUCCUCACCCCUUUCCCGCGCGGUCAGCCUGUGAGCGCGCCGAGAUCCACUUGAUUAUGUGCCGGGACUUAUUGAUUUCUGGCUCGAGUCCUCAGGAGCUGCAGAGGCUUGUGUUUCUCUUGCAAAAACAAACAAUCACACUGAGAGGUUGUGCCUCUUAAUUCUGGUGGGCACAGACUGUCAAUAGAGAGGGGCCCAGAGUCGGGCUCUCUCAUUGGCGAGGCCAAAGCGAGUCCAGUCCCUUCCUUCUCAGGCCCUCACAGUAGCAGGAAAGCAUUUCCCUCACGGAUCGGCAGUGCCACAGGGUCCAUCAGGAGGGCAGGGUGGACAGGGGAGCCCCGCCAAUGAAGGGAGCACUGGCUCCAUGCACACCCAGGGCAGCGUUUUCCCAGCCCUGGACCCCUUCCUGGGCCCGCCUGUCUUCUGAAACCCCAUUUGUUUCAUUUCUCUACACAGGAAAAACAGGCUCACUCUUGGCAACAGCGAUGAGCUGGGUCAGCUGUGUGCCGGGCACGGCCGGCUCCCUUCCCCUCUGAAGGGGACUGUCUAAUGGGAGAGACAGGCGACAAGACUGCUGGGGCCAAAUGCUGAGGAACCCAUGAUGGGAAGAUGGCUUAUGUGGACGCCAGUUGGGGAAGCUCCACAGAGAUGGUGAGGCCAAACUGGGCGGGACCAGGACAAGGAGAGCCGGGCUGGAGCGGAGCCAGAAAGCCACUGAGAUGAAAAUACAUCCAUGGAACUGAACAUUGAUGAACCAUCUGCCACAAUGGGAAGGUCGGCUCUCCUGUCAGAGGAGUGCAUUCAAUUUCAGCAUCUCAGGCUGUGAAUAGAGAGCCGAGGACUCUGACUCUGGGCCUGCUGAGCCACACGAGAGCCACAGAACACGUGGAGGGGUGCCUGGGCCCUGGGUGCUGGCCCUGGCUCCAGCCAUCUCCAUGCAGACAGUCAGCCUGGGCCUCUCUCCCGACAGGGUCUUGGCUGACACAGCACUUUCCUGGACAGGCAGAGCACAGUCAGAGCUGAGGCCUGGGCGUGACAGCCUCCUACCUGCGCUUCCACAUUAGCCACACUGGGGCCCCCUGCCUGCCCUCGUGGACCCCCUUCGAGGGGGAACUGAGAAGUCUUGAGGGAAAUGGACAGAACCCAGACUCACAGCAGCUGCAGCCUCUGGGGCAGAAAGCCCUGCUCUGUAUCUGCUGGCCAAGCAACGCUUCAGAAAACCCGGGCAGCACCAAGCGCGGCUUUUGGAUCGAGAACAAGAAGUCGACACUCUGAGUGCGUCAGGCUCAGGAGAAGAUAAUGCAUAAUGACCAAAUUACCAUGGUCUAAAAUCUCCGCCAAUUGCAUCCAAAUUAGCAGGAAUAAUUAUGAUUCACUUUAAUUAGUGACUAUGGAAGCGAAGCCUUGGGCUGGUGGGCAGAGCCUGGUGUGACAGCCAGGAGGGAGAGGGUGUCCCGGCCAGCGAGGCCGGUGUGGUAAUGGGCCCAGGACCUGCAACCAUUGGUUUUUGCUGGUCUCCCGUCUUGUGAAUGUCUGCUUUGUUACAGACAGUAGCGCCCCCCCCCCCCCCAUCCCGUCAUUGGCUGGCCACGUUCACCUCCAGCACCAAGAGAACCUCCAGGCCUCACCACUCACUCCCACCCUGUGAGUGGGCUCCACAUUGCCCCCACAUUACAGAUGGGGAAAUGGUGGCUCAGAGAUCACUGUCAUACCGGAGCCUUGGCUGUGGUCCCCACGUUCUUCCCUUGUCCCUGAGUUGGGGGCCCUCUGGUUCAGCUCCAUGAAUGAACUCGUCUGCCCAUAGACCUCCCACAGCGUGAGGACCCCCGGGCUGCAGCCCACCUCCCACAUGGCUCUGGGACCAGCUGGCGCGCGCCCAGGCCUCCUACCUUGAGAAACAGCGCUCCCUUCGAGGCCAGGCUGUCGACGCCCUUCCCGUUGGUGUAACAGCGAUAGACUGCGUCCAUGAUGGGGUAACGGCUGGCAAAGAAGAGGCCGCUGUUGAAACACUUGAAGCAGCAGUGGGCUUCGCAGCAGCGGCGGCAGCAGCAGCAGCCUUGGCAGCCGUAGACCCCGACAUCAGACAGGAUGUACUCGAAGUAGCCAUGCAGCUGGUUUUUCAACUUGGUGGCCGCCCGCUUGUCAAACACCUCCUGCAGGCACAGGAAGUCCAGGUUGGCGGGGAAGAAGGCCGAGAUCUCGUGGUCAAAGGCCUCGUCCGGGUGCCGCCUUUUGCGCGCUGCUACCUUCUUCACCACCGAGGCCUUGUGCGGGGCCUUGCCGUAGGUAGCGCCUGGCUCCCCGCCGCCGCCGCUGUCCAGCCCGGCGCGCGCCUUCACCAGGGACUCCUUGGAAGCAGAGCGGCUGCCCAGGCUCCCCGAGUCCCCAUCCCGCCGACUGUGGUUGGGCGUCUGGCCCAGUGGGCCCCCGCCAGCCCCAUUCCUGGCCUGGCCCCCAGUGGCAGGGUCGUCAGCCUCGGGGUGCUGGCCUCCCUCAUCGCCACUGAUGCGCACGACGCAGGCAUUCUCAAGGCUACUGCAGUCGAUUGGGUCUCCGGAAGCCGGGCCAUUGGCAGCCUCGUCACUGGGGUGACGCCCACUGUUGCCCUUGUAGUCCACAGAGGCAGUCCUCUUAAUGCUCCCGGGGACAGCCCGGGCCAUGCCAUCGCCCUGGGGUGACACCAGGCUGCUGAAGCUGGCCGCGCUGAUGGAGGUAUUGGUGGGCGAAUCGAUGUAGAUUUUUAUCUGGGGCCGACUGGCCCCGUUGCGGAUUCGGUGCCCGAUCUCUUUGGCCCGUACUUGGGUUUUAUAAACGUUGUUGUGCCUGGCCAGUGACUCGGGGAGGAGGCAGACGUUGGCUGUGGCAAAGCAGAAGCUUUUGCCAGGACCCGUCCCCUUCCAUUCACGGAGUAGGGCUGCCCCGCCAGCCGGGCCCUUGUCCUCCACCCGGGAGUAGACGUAGGGCCGGCGGGCACACUGCAGGGGGCACCAGAAGAGGAACCCAAGAAACGCGAAGGGCAGUGAGGUGACCAGGAAGCCCAGGUAGAUGGGCAUGAAGAGCACGAUGCAGAGCAGCUGGUUCUUCUGACAGGGCGCAGGCGUGAACAAGGCCAGAAGCUGGUCCAGCAGCCAGUAGCAUGGGAAGAUGAGGUACCAGGACACGGCGUGCAGGGCAGACAGACAGCUAUUGGAAAAGGGGGUCGUG